CUAACCAUGAAUCCACAGUAAUUAUGGUCCAGUUAACCUUUUAAAAUCACUGAUUAGAAAACUAGUGGUGAGCCGGUUUACUGUCCAAUUGGACUGGAUUGGGAACCGAUCAGUUUGAAGAAAAUGGCGUCGUUUUGAUUCCUGAAUGUCAUUACUCGAAUCUGUAUCACUUCACUACUCACUCCUCCCACUCAAGCCAAGAAGAAACACGGACGCCCCCUUAUCCAACUCUAGCCUCUCUUCAAGCCACUGUUGCCGUCUGUCUGUCAAGCUACUGCCGUCAUCCGUCCUUCGAGCUAUUGCCCCUAUGUCUCCAAAGUCCAACCCAUACUCUCUUCUUCUGCGAGCUCAGCCCAUCCGUCGUCAUCGGCUGCUCGUCGUCUGGUCGGCAUCAUCCUUCACGGUCAAUAGUCUGUCGGCGUCGUCUUCGAAGAUGCAGGUCAAGAGGCACCUCAUUAGGUGUCUGGACUUCUGAAGCGAAGUGGUUAUCGGGUUAUUUUGUUGUACGGUUAUGUAUAUAUACGUACUUAGUUUUCUUUCCGCAUGACUUGAUCCUUUUGACCCUUUUAGAGGCUUAUGGAGAGACAGGAUUUUAUUUAUGUAAAUUUGGGUUUUGGAUAUGUAUAUAUAUGUGUACUUAUUCUCCGGCCAGCCUUGACUUCGCGAGCUAAGUUAGGAGCUUGUUAUUUUGUACCUUUGGCCCUCUAUUCUUACUUUUGUUACCUUAUAGCUGAUAGCUAUAGUUUUCUUAGUAGCAAGUUAACUCGUUUUCUGAGCAUUGCAUUUUUAUUUCGCGAUUUUUA